rnacentral:rRNA from 1 species
UGGGGAAUCUUGGUCAAUGGGCGCAAGCCUGAACCAGCGAUGCCGCGUGAGUGAUGAAGGCCUUCGGGUUGUAAAGCUCUGUGGGGAGGGACGAAAUCAUCGGUUCUAACAGGACCGAAUUUGACGGUACCUCCUUAGCAAGCACCGGCUAACUCUGUGCCAGCAGCCGCGGUAAGACAGAGGGUGCAAACGUUGCUCGGAAUCACUGGGCGUAAAGGGCGCGUAGGCGGGGAUGUAAGUCGGGCGUGAAAUCCCCAGGCUCAACCUGGGAACUGCACUCGAAACUGCGUUUCUUGAGUAUCGGAGAGGAAAGCGGAAUUCCUGGUGUAGAGGUGAAAUUCGUAGAUAUCAGGAGGAACACCAGUGGCGAAGGCGGCUUUCUGGACGGUAACUGACGCUGAGGCGCGAAAGCGUGGGGAGCAAACAG